rnacentral:lncRNA from 1 species
GAGAGGGGAAUGUGUCCCCAGAAGGAGAAAGGAGGAAAUUGAUGACAGUUCUCCUGUUCAGCAGUUUUACAAGGACCCAUUUUAAUAAGUGCUAUGAAGGGAAAUCCUCCAAAGAUAUCCUGAAAAGAGUAGCUGCAAAUGCAUUGAUGUCACUGCUGGCUGUCAGUAGAAGAGCACAGAAACAUGCUUUGAAAGCCAAUCUUAUAGACAAUUGCAUGGAGCAGAUGAAACACAUAAAUGCACAACUGAACCUAGAUUCUCUGAGGCCUGGGAAAGCAGCAUUGAAAAAAAAGGAGGAUGGUGUUAUUAAAGAGUUAAGCAUUGCCAUGCAGCUCCUAAGAAACUGUCUUUAUCAAAAUGAGGAAUGUAAAGAAGCAGCUCUUGAAGCUCACCUUGUCCCUGUCUUGCACUCUCUCUGGCCUUGGAUUUUGAUGGAUGAUUCAUUGAUGCAAAUUUCUCUGCAGCUCCUUUGUGUCUAUACUGCAAAUUUUCCAAAUGGUUGCAGUUCUCUUUGUUGGUCAAGUUGUGGACAACACCCUGUUCAAGCUACACAUAGAGGAGCCGUGAGCAACUCUCUGAUGCUGUGUAUCCUAAAGUUGGCUUCCCAGAUGCCACUGGAGAACACCACGGUUCAGCAGAUGGUUUUUAUGCUUCUUUCAAACCUGGCCUUGUCGCAUGACUGUAAAGGAGUAAUUCAGAAGAGUAACUUCUUACAGAACUUCCUCUCUCUAGCAUUGCCAAAAGGAGGAAAUAAACAUCUAAGUAAUCUGACUAUUCUUUGGUUGAAGUUACUCCUGAAUA